rnacentral:rRNA from 1 species
UGGGGAAUAUUGCGCAAUGGGGGGAACCCUGACGCAGCCAUGNCGCGUGAAUGAAGAAGGCCUUAGGGUUGUAAAGUUCUUUCGGUAUUGAGGAAGGUUGAUGUGUUAAUAGCACAUCAAAUUGACGUUAAAUACAGAAGAAGCACCGGCUAACUCCGUGCCAGCAGCCGCGGUAAUACGGAGGGUGCGAGCGUUAAUCGGAAUAACUGGGCGUAAAGGGCACGCAGGCGGUUAUUUAAGUGAGGUGUGAAAGCCCCGGGCUUAACCUGGGAAUUGCAUUUCAGACUGGGUAACUAGAGUACUUUAGGGAGGGGUAGAAUUCCACGUGUAGCGGUGAAAUGCGUAGAGAUGUGGAGGAAUACCGAAGGCGAAGGCAGCCCCUUGGGAAUGUACUGACGCUCAUGUGCGAAAGCGUGGGGAGCAAACAGGAUUAGAUACCCUGGUAGUCCACGCUGUAAACGCUGUCGAUUUGGGGGUUGGGGUUUAACUCUGGCGCCCGUAGCUAACGUGAUAAAUCGACCGCCUGGGAGUACGGCCGCAANNNA